CGCAUCUGUGCAUGCAGCAUAUCAAUAAGCGGAGGAAAAGAAACUAGCAAGGAUUCCCUUAGUAACGGCGAGCGAAGCGGGAAGAGCUCAAAUUUGAAAUCUUCAAGGUUUUACCUUGACGAAUUGUAGUUUAAAGAAGUGUUUUCUGUUGAAGUUUUGGUAAAAGUUCUUUGGAAUAGGACAUCAUAGAGGGUGAGAAUCCCGUAUUUGACCAUUAUUUUCAGCUGUGUGAUACACUUUCAAAGAGUCGGAUUGUUUGGGAAUGCAGUCCAAAAUGGGUGGUAAAUUUCAUCUAAAGCUAAAUAUUGGCGAGAGACCGAUAGCGAACAAGUACCGUGAGGGAAAGAUGAAAAGAACUUUGAAAAGAGAGUUAAACAGUACGUGAAAUUGUCAAAAGGGAAGCGUUUGACACCAGUGUUGUUUUCUCGAAAAUCAAUUAAAAAGAGUUUGAUUUUGUUGUGUAUUGACCUUAACAGCUUGCAUUUCAAUUUUCUUGCUUUUUUUAAUGCACUUUUCGUUUAACAAGUCAACAUCAGUUUCUUUUGUUGUAAAAAGGUCAUUGGAAGGUGGCUUUCUUUUCGGAGAAAGUGUUUAUAGCCUUUGACUCCUGCAAUCGGAGAGACUGAGGUCUGCAGCGUAGAUCCUUCGGGGUUAGAUACAUUUGUGCUAAGUUAUAGCUUUUUAUAGACAACUUGUUGACUAUGAUUAGUCUUGUAGCUUACUCGCUUAUGCUAUUUUACCUACGCUUAGGAUGUUGAACUCUAUCACACACAG
rnacentral:rRNA from 1 species